rnacentral:tRNA from 1 species
GCGGGCAUAGUUUAGUGGUAAAAUAGGAGCUUCCCAAGCUUCGGUUGCGAGUCCGAUUCUCGUUGCCCGCUCCA